GGGGAUUUAGCUCAGCGGCAUAAGCACCUGCCUUGCAAGCAGGCAGUCGGGAGUUCAAACCCUG
rfam:Cavia porcellus supercont2_36 genomic scaffold, whole genome shotgun sequence.